GGGCCGCUCCCUGGCCUCGCUGCCCUGUCAGUCGCCUGUGAGCUCCUGCUCCUUCCUGGGCCUGCAGCCCUGGAGAAUUUGCUCACCGAGGUAGGAGUGCCGCUGUGGGCAGUGGGCGGCGGCAGCGGACGAGCGGCCAGGCUGACCACCUCUGCCUGACUCAGAUGCCUAAGGGCCGGGCCGGCAGCCUGCCCACGACCUCCAUCGGCUGGCGCUUCCAGCUCUGGUUCCUAGGACUCACCUGCCCGGAGCGCCACCUGGCCAGACGCCUCAAGAACAAUAGCUUCUACCCAUUCGUGCAGCAGGAGCCAAACGUCUUCGUGCUCGAAUACUACCUGGACACACUGUGGAAGGGGAUGCUGCUCUUCAUCAUCAGCGUGGUCCUGGUCAGCUUCAGCUCCCUGAGAGAGGUGUGCAGAAGCAAGAGACCUGGGUCUUCCUCGUGUACGGCGUGGGCGUGGGCCUGUGGCUCGUGAUCUCGUCGCUGCCGCGGCGCCGCCUGGUGCUGAACCACACGCGCGGCGUGUACCACUUCUCCAUCCAGGGCCGCACCGUGUGCCAGGGCCCCUUGCAUCUGGUCUACGUGCGCCUGGCGCUCAGCUCCGAUGCCCACGGAAGGUGCUUCUUCCACCUGGUCCUCGGCGGCCACAGGUUGGAGCCCCUGGUGCUGGUGCAGCUGUCGGAGCACUACGAGCAAAUGGAAUACUUGGGCCGUUACAUCGCCCGGAAACUCAACAUCAACUACUUCGACUACCUGGCCACCUCCUACCGGCACGUGGUUCGCCACUGGCCACCCCCUGGCGCUGGCACUGUGAUGGGCAAGAGCCCCAUGGGUCACAAGCCCAGCUCCUCUCAGUCCAGCCUGGAGGUGUGACUCUGAGGGCCUCCCCCACCUCGGGACUGUGUUCUCGGUAACCUCCCAGCCCCACUCUGGGGCAGAUCAAAUGUGAGUCCCACUCACUGGCCUUCCUUUCAAUAAAGCUGCCUCAGCUUC